ACACAGUUUGUUGUUUUUAGAGAAGCGAAGAUUUUUCGUUGUGUAAAAAAGAAUGAAACUCUUUAGCUUCUCUAAUAAAUGCAAAUUUAUU